CCGCCCGCCCCCUUGGGAAGCGAUUCCCGUGAAGGGGGGCAAAACUGGGAAAGUGUGUGUGGGGGAAGCAGCUGUUACAUACCCUCAACGCGCAGGCGAGCAGCCCUGAAUGGAGGGGGAACUCCCCCCGGGGCGGAUUGGCCCCGCGGUGCUGAUCGUCACGGCCGCACCGCCCACGGCGGGAGGGGGGGCGCGGGGAAGCGGGGUGUGAGGGAAAGGCCUCUCGGCGGAGGGCGGGAGGGAGCCGGUUCCCCCGCGGAGGUAGCCAGCGUUCCCCUCCCUUAAACACGAGAUGGGGGUGGGGGUUAGUGCCUACAAUCAUCGUGUUUCUCUCCGUUUGGAAAGUUGUGGAGUGUGUUGCUGGGUUCCCCAGACGGAGGCUGCAGGAGCCAGGCCUUGGCCGCCUGUUAGUGCUCAUCUGGGCAUCUAAAGUGUGCUCGGGAAAGGCUGAAAUACAAACACACAUUCCACACUCCUAUUAAAACGUGUAUUUCAAGCGCCUUCACUCAAACAAGGUCUAAAUCUCGUAGUUUUUUGUUUCUUUUUCCUUUCCAGCUGUUCAUCCCGUUGUCAGACUGGGAGAGCGCUGCAGGAGCAGGCAGUGAGGUGGUGCCGGGACAAGCAGGCACAGCCGAGGAGGGAGCCGGGAGCUGCAGCUCGGUGUAAGCCCUGGAAGGGCUCUCGACAGAGGGGUUUGAGUUUGCACGGGCUGCAGUGCCACUGGAGAUCGAACCUGAGCCUUGGAAACCGGAGGUGAGGAAGCAGAAGGGCUGGGAAAUGAAGCGCUCUGGAGCUAGGCUCUUUCCAAACUCCCAGGGAGCAAAAUUACAAGCACUAAAGUAAUCGUCAUUAGCGAGGCAGCGUGCACGCAGCCAAGACAGCCAGAUGAGACAGGUGGGCACAGCGAUGGCAGCGCCGCUUUACAAUUGCUCUGCAAUGCCUUUAAAUCCCCGUUUCCAAACUCCAGCGGAACUUUGGAUUUUGUUCUUGGAAUUUCCAGUGCUGUUACUCUUGCCCGUGGUGGUUGAUCCCCAUCUCUGGGCCACUCCAGGGAAGGGGAGAUCCUGCAGGCAUCAGGCUGCUUGCACUCAACUACCCGUUUUUCCCACCGCUUUCCAAACAAUACAGUUUUUCUUUCCAGUAACUUUUGGCUGGCUGCGUGAAGUGACCAUUUCCAGAGAAAUCCUUAUUUCUGCUGCUGAGCAGGACUUGCUGGCACAGAAGGAAUGGAUGGAAGAAAACAUUGUGUUGUGCAAGAGGACCGAAAACGCUGGCUUUGAGAAGAAACGCAGCCCUGGAAAUAACACCCAGGCCAUGAGUCUUGGAAAAGUUUUGGUUCUCUGUGUCCACACCAUGUGGAACUGAGCUAGAAGGCACAACCACCUUUACCAUGUGCACAGAGUGGGCUUGGUUGGGAUUUCACAGCCUGUGGGAGAGAGACAUGGGCUGGGCACAUUUGUGGGGCCACGUGGGACACUUGGCAUCACCUGCAGCUUUCGGAUCUGGACCCAACACUUUGCCAAAAGCCCCGCUGAGCUACAGAGAGCUGCUGCUGACAGCACAGGAUUAACAAUAAACUGCAAACAUUGCCUUCCUGCA
ensembl:lncRNA